rnacentral:lncRNA from 7 species
UGUUAUGUGAAUGCAAAUGCUGCAGGUAUCCUGAAAUUGCUCCCGACAUGGAAACAUUUACAUGCCAGGCAACCAGGUAAACUGUCAGAUACUGCUUUUUCAAGAGGCUGUUGAACAUCACUGAUUCAGUUUUAAAUACUGAGUAAUUCCAGACUAAUUUUACAAAAGUAGCUACUUAUUUUAGAAAGGAAAAGAAAAUUCCUCCUAGUUUAAGACAAACGAUGAGGAAAAGUGUCUGUGCAAGGAAUAAUUCUGGAGUAGUUAGAACAAGCCCUUCAUUUUUUACAUGACCACUUCACGUUUUUCACUGGCCACCUGUUAAGCGCUGAUCUGAUUGUAAAAUAAGGCAAUGUUUCAAGGCCUUCCAUAUAACAGAUUUUAUCUAAAUCCCAAACUUCUUUACUGAGACUCUUCCUACGACAUUCAUCAAGUUGCUGAUUCACUUGCAGCAAAGCAAGCACUUGUUCAGCUUAAGAUGUUACAGUCCUGCCUGCCAACCUGCUAGAGGUUCUCCUCUGUUCCAGAGUCAGCAGAGCCAACCUGUGCCUCAGCCAGUGCAGUUCAAAGUCUGUCAGCUUAGCAACCACCUACCAUUAUUAUGCCUUAAGCAAAAAUAUCCGAAUGUGAAAUGGGGAGGCGGAGGACAGACACAUACUCCUUCUGCCACCUUAUAAAAGAGUGGUAAUACCUUAAACAUUAAAAGCAGAUUUGCCAGUGCUUGUCUGUCAAAAGGCCUCCAGACAACAUGCACCUUUUAGGAAUUCUCCCAAAGUGCUAAAGGCAAGACUAUAAUCAUCCUUCUGUUAGAGCCUAGAGAAUGAAAUGUGAUCCUCUACGCCUCUUUCCCUUACCUUUUUGGAAAGUAACUUCAAACACCAUGAGCUUAUAUAUGCAUGUAAAAGAUUAUAAGACUGACUGUUAUUCAGCUAUUCUCUCUAUUGUAUCUGCGUUCCAGUUUUACCUUAUUUCUUUCUCUGUACAUUUGAUUCCCAAAUUACUAUAAUGUUAUUUUUAAUAUGAGCUUUAUAUAUAUUUGUCAUAUGGACAGAGUAUCUUGAUGAAGCUGUGUUACAGAACUGAAAGCAUCUUCCUUUCUGUAGUUAACUCUGUUACGUCUCCGCUUUGUAAUAUGGUAUGCACAAAUGCCUUCUCACUGGAAACGCGCAUCUGAUUCCAACACUGUAAUAAAUGUCCUUACCACUGUUACCUCUGUGUCAGCAGGGAAGAAAAUGUAAGGCUUGUAGCAACACCCUCAGCUAGCCCUGAGUGAGUGUCUUACAUAGGUGUUCAUAAAGAUAAGAAAACUUUUCAACUGCUAAAAUAGUCAUCUGUUCAAUUAAGAAAUCCAGUAGAUUUAUCUGCCGUUCAUCUGCCUUUGUAUGUUGAAAUGUUGUAGUUGAUGAACUUCCGGUGAAGUAGGACUGAUGCGUUAAAGGUGACUUUUCUUGACAAAACUUUGUGCACUAUAAAAUGUUCAUCAGGACAAGUUGAGGUGUGCAGCACUAGUGCCUAAAACUGGGGUUUUGCCAUUCCAAAUGACCAGUGGCCAUUUCUUCAGAGAGUCUCAGUCUUCUCUUUUGAAUGAUUUUUCUAUCCGAGGUUCACCGUAACAUUUAAACUCUUGGUUGCUGACUUUUCUAUGGUGGCUUCUUUUCUGCUUUCACAAUAUGAUGCCAAAGAGCAGAGAAAUUACAACCAACCAACCAAAAAAGUAGCACUGUGAUGUGAUAGACCAGAUUGCACAUGUAAGCGUAUGUAUAACUUUUUAUGUAUAACUUCUGCCAGAGAAAAUGAGAGAUCUUAUCUUCGUAUGCUGAGAGUGGGAUAAAGUGAACAAAUAUUUAAGUACUUUUGUGUUCACGUCGUGGGAGAGCAGAAGGAAAUAAUCUGAAUUUCUGGACCAAAAAUAAUGAAAUGACUGCUAAAUAGUGCAGAAGAAUAUUGUCGAUGUGAACGGAAAGGGAGUGUGAUGCCUUGCGCCAUUUUCCACAUUGGCUGUGGAAAAAUCUCCUAGAUUCAGGCAAGGUACGGACGUGUGGGAAGAAAGAGGGAAUGGAAAAUGAAAUAGAAAGCACAUCAAAGAGGUGUCUGUAUUUAUCCCCUUUUGGCAGGUGGAAAAACUGAGUUAGAGAAAUGAUUUACACAUAUUCCGCUUUCACUUGUCAUUUUCAGAGCCAAAAAUUACCACCUCCCAGUCCUAAACAUUAACCACAAGAGUACUUCUCUGUACUAUCCUAUCUGUUAUUUGUUUUACCUUGUUUUGAGUUUUAAGAAUGCCUAUGAUCUGCAUAAACGUGUUGAAACGCACAAUGAUUCAGAUGCCUACAGCUGCGAUGUUGAAGGAUGUGGUUUUACUUCAUGGACUUUACAAACCCGGAGACGGCACGACAAGAGAGCACAUGUGGUUUUGUAUAAGAGAUUCAGAUAUUGAAUUAAAGGCUGUCUGAAGUUUGGUCCAGCUUUAGACAGACUGUGAACCACUAUGAAAUAAUCCACUUAGAUUUUGCUGUCACUGUGGAAAACCUAAUGUAAAAGUGGCUUAAAUCUUCUUGUCUUUAUAGCUUUUACUAUUGGGAAAGUCUUGCAAUUCCAGAAUCUUUUAAGAACAUUUAUUGACUUUUUAAUUGUCUCUACUGAGGAAAUAAACUGUGCAUAAAUAUAUCAACAGCUUCAAUAGUACAAACAAACUGUACUCUCCAUUUUGGCACAAGAAAAUUCAGUAAAUAGAUGUAAU